AGGAACAAUUAAAGAACUACUCGUAUAAUCUUGGAGAUAAGGUCCAUAAGUUUCUACCAAACUGCCGUAAAGAGUUUGACUACGAGAAUACCCCGCCAGUUA
rnacentral:ncRNA from 2 species